rnacentral:ncRNA from 1 species
UGGUCCUAGCCUUAUAAUCAACUAUCACUUAACUUACACAUGCAAGUAUCCGCACCCCUGUGAAAACGCCCUUAAAUUCCCGCUAGAAAUAAGGAGCCGGUAUCAGGCACAAUUAUUAGCCCAAAACGCCKAGCUACGCCACAUCCUCACGGAAAUUCAGCAGUGAUUAAUAUUGAAAAUAAGCGACAGCUUGACUCAGUUAAAGUAAAAAGAGCCGGCAAAUCUGGUGCCAGCCGCCGCGGUUACACCAUGUGGCUCAAGUUGAUCUCUUCGGCGUAAAGCGUGGUUAAAGUCACUAAAAUUAUAGUUAAAUUAUAAUUAAGCCGUAGCACGCUUAUAUUUAAGAAAACCAAAAACGAAAGUUACUAUAAUUAAAACAACUUGAAUCCACGACAGUUAGGACACAAACUGGGAUUAGAUACCCCACUAUGCCCCACCGUAAACUUUUAAUUACAUCCACAUCGCCCGGGAACUACGAGCAAAGCUUAAAACCCAAAGGACUUGACGGUACCCCAUAUCCACCUAGAGGAGCCUGUCCUAUAAUCGAUAAUCCCCGUUUAACCUCACCAUUUUUAGCCUAUACAGCCUGUAUACCUCCGUCGCCAGCUUACCACGUGAGCGACCCUCAGUAAGCCUAAUGAUUUUAUACCAACACGUCAGGUCAAGGUGCAGCAAAUAAAAUGGGAAGAGAUGGGCUACACUCUCUAAUUUAGAGCAUACGAAAGACUAUCUAUGAAACCUAGUCAGAAGGAGGAUUUAGCAGUAAAAAGAAACUAGAGAGCUCUUUUUAACACGGCACUGGGGUGCGUACACACCGCCCGUCACCCUCUUCGAAGCCAAUAAAAAAGUCCAUAACACAUUUUAACCAAAGAGAAGAGACAAGUCGUAACAUGGUAAGUAUACCGGAAGGUGUGCUUGGAAA